rnacentral:rRNA from 1 species
UGCUUCCUACGGGGGGCAGCAGUGAGGAAUAUUGGUCAAUGGGCGGAAGCCUGAACCAGCCAAGUCGCGUGAGGGAAUAAGGCCCUACGGGUCGUAAACCUCUUCUGCCGGGGAGCAAGGGCGGGGACGUGUCCCGGCCCGGAGAGUACCCGGAGAAAAAGCAUCGGCUAACUCCGUGCCAGCAGCCGCGGUAAUACGGAGGAUGCGAGCGUUAUCCGGAUUUAUUGGGUUUAAAGGGUGCGUAGGAGGGCUUUUAAGUCAGCGGUAAAGAUUCGGGGCGCAACCACGUC